GCGUCUGGGCGCAGACUACCAUGCAAGUCGAGCGGUAGAGAGGUGCUUGCACCUCUUGAGAGCGGCGGACGGGUGAGUAAUGCCUAGGAAUCUGCCUGGUAGUGGGGGAUAACGCUCGGAAACGGACGCUAAUACCGCAUACGUCCUACGGGAGAAAGCAGGGGACCUUCGGGCCUUGCGCUAUCAGAUGAGCCUAGGUCGGAUUAGCUAGUUGGUGAGGUAAUGGCUCACCAAGGCGACGAUCCGUAACUGGUCUGAGAGGAUGAUCAGUCACACUGGAACUGAGACACGGUCCAGACUCCUACGGGAGGCAGCAGUGGGGAAUAUUGGACAAUGGGCGAAAGCCUGAUCCAGCCAUGCCGCGUGUGUGAAGAAGGUCUUCGGAUUGUAAAGCACUUUAAGUUGGGAGGAAGGGCAUUAACCUAAUACGUUAGUGUUUUGACGUUACCGACAGAAUAAGCACCGGCUAACUCUGUGCCAGCAGCCGCGGUAAUACAGAGGGUGCAAGCGUUAAUCGGAAUUACUGGGCGUAAAGCGCGCGUAGGUGGUUCGUUAAGUUGGAUGUGAAAUCCCCGGGCUCAACCUGGGAACUGCAUUCAAAACUGUCGAGCUAGAGUAUGGUAGAGGGUGGUGGAAUUUCCUGUGUAGCGGUGAAAUGCGUAGAUAUAGGAAGGAACACCAGUGGCGAAGGCGACCACCUGGACUGAUACUGACAC
rnacentral:rRNA from 1 species